AUUUUUACAAUAAUUUAAGGACACAAUCAAAGGGGUUAUAUCUGUGGUGAAAUUUUAUAUUCUAGAAGGGAAGGGAACUUUUCAUUUUUGAAUUACAUAAGUCCCAACUCUAAUUAUUUGCAUCAUUUUAGAUGCGCCUAUCACUUUUGCAAUUAUAGGAAGGGCUUUUACUUGAGAAUCAUUACUGCCCUUUUUUCUUUAAAGCAAAUGUUAUCCCCUAUGAGACUUAACAUACUGUCCAACAUGUACAAUAAAAAGAAAUUAUGUGAAGUAAAGGAUAUUGUAUCAUUAUAACCUCCUUGGUGUAACCAUAGAUGUAAUAUCUAUGGUGUAACAAAGUAACAGCACAAGAGAUGUUUUUUGGUAAGCGGAAAGUAAAUUUGUUGGUGUAACUCACUCACAUUGAUUGGGUUUUUUUGGGGGUUUUCUUCCAGAAUAUCAAAUGCCUCAUAUGGUCAAUUUUUUUUUCUCUAAUUUUUAGAUGAAUUUAAUUUCCUUUAUUUUAUUCUGAUUGGGUUUUUUUGUUUCUUUUUUUGUUUUUCCUGAUUCUAAGAUGCCACAUGUGGUCAUUUCUUUUUUUCACUAAUUUUCAAAUAAAUUUAAUUUUCUUUACUUUUUUUCUUAAAUCUUCUUGGUUCUGUUCACAGGUGGGUCUUCAUCAGUAAAACAACUAUAGGUAAUGAAGCUGAUAUUUCUGGUUUAGAUUUUUCUAAAAUCAUUC
rnacentral:lncRNA from 1 species